CGCACUGUGUGGCUUUUGCUAUUUAUGGUGGACGAGCUGAUCUCAUCAAUUCUUGCGUGGUGGAUUUGGUCCCGUCGCACCGCUUUGACUUGCCGCUUUGUGUCUCUCCCCAAUUCACCGCUCUCCUUCAUCUUUCUCUGGCUUGCCUCGCCAUAUUCCCGUGACCUGAAUUUGUCCUCACACGAGCUCUUCCGUGGCCGAGCUCUGUCGCAUGGCCAGCAGACUUGCGUGUCAGGUCCUCCGACGUCAUGGUCGUCACUGAGAUGCUCACGUGGUCUGCUCCGCCGCCGUUACUCCCCUCCUGGACGCCUGGACGGUGGCCCUUGACCCGGCCGUCUGGUUCGCCGUGUGGGCGUACCACCACGGCCACCAAUGCUCGCGGCUGCUCUGGAUUGGGGGCACUGCGUUGCCUCCGGGCCGCCCCGCCGCCACCAACACCUACGAUGCCGUCGGCAAGGCGUAUUGGCAACAUAGAAAUCCAGCAGCAGGAGCGGGGCAUAGCCGUAUGGACGGAGGGAGUCCUGGUUCCUGCGGAACUCAUGUGGUGCACCGUGAGCGGCUAUUCCUCGGGCCAUGCCACAGGGAUACAGCGGGAGCAGCGGUAGGUUAAGACGGCGAGGUGUCGAGCCGCUGCCAGGGUCUCCUUCGUGGCCGUCGGCCGUGGCCUGCGUCUGGUCUUCCUCGGCGUGGUCACCGUCACCGAGGCGAUCCAGAUGUCCCCCGCUCCCUCUUCCCCACUGUAGCUCCUCUUGGCCGACGCCCCGACCCCGCCGGUCUGGUUCACUGCCGUGAGGCCACCACGCUGCUCUGGCUUCUCUCCCACCGACGUGAGGGCGCCACGCCGCCCCGUCUCCACCCCCGUCGCCGCCUGGCUGAAGCGGCGCCCUUACUCCUCCUCACCGGCGGGACGCCGCAGGUCCUCACCUGCUCCAUCCCACCGGAUUGAGGCUACACCGCUGCAGAAGUUCAUGGGUGGCGCUGCGGUAUCCAUUCAGGCCUGUGUGAGACCUACACAGCCAGCCCUGCUCCUCGCCAUACUCCGUCCUCACAGCCGGGUCUGAUUACAUCUGGAUCUGAUGCAAGUUUGGAAAUUCCCACUAUGGCAGUUGGAUCUAGAUAGCAUGGCAUUAAGCUCGAUAUCAUCAACGACAUGCGCUGUGAGUUGUUACAGUUCUCGGGUGUGUCCACCCAGUUGUUGCCGGCAAAAGGAUUGUCCGUUGGACAUAGAAGAGAAGGUAUCUAAUAUAUGGUUGAUUCAGAAUUAAGAAUUUUCAGGUAUGCUUGAUUUCCCUUCCCUUCAGCACCAAGCUGGGUUUGUCGAGUGUAAUUAUUGUGUAUGUCAGUGAUUGACCGGCAUUAGUUUGGUCUCAAGUGAGCUAUGCAGUUAUCUAAUUAGUUUGUGGUGAUGCAGCCACAAGCGAGACAUGCAAUUAGAUAUUAACAUUAAUAGCGUUCAGUCACUCGAGACCAACCAAAAUAGCUAGAUUUGUUUACUUAUGAGCUCUGUAGUCUCCAUUGGGUCUGGGAAAAAUGUUGCUUUAGAUGAUACCAAUUUCAUCUGUGGUUUGAUCAUACAAGUACCCAGUUUUCAUGCAUGUACAUGUGCCUAUAUCAUGUGUUUGAUGACAACAAGCAUGGACUCAGCUUGUUGGUGGCAAUACCUUUUUGUCGACUGUUGCAAAUCUGGAUUGGGUAAGUUCAGCUGAUGACCUUCUGUAUCAAGUUGUUCUGCAAUGGUUGAUAAUAAAAAAAAUCUUCAGAUUUAAUCAAGAGGUAUAGGUAAAAAAGAAUCAAACUCUAUCUGUUCAUUGUGAGACUUUACUAAUAUAUUUAUAUUACUAAAUCAUGAAUAUCUUGAUUUCUUCUAAGAAUAGUUUCUCCGUACAUUCCAAGUUAUACCUGAUCAAUAGCCUGUCUUCUACCAUGCAUAUAUGUUGUUACUUGUUUUUGGCACAAGUGUCAUGGCAAGAACCACGAUGGUGAUCAUUCUAAGAAGUAGAAUUAUGUCCAGUUAGAUAUAAACUAAUUUUGUACUCAGUUUUAUUUCAGAAGAGUGCAUGUCGCGCUGCUACUCUUUUGCAAGAUACACUUUCCAUUGUUACUCCUUGCCUCCUUGGUAUCACGGUCGUGGGCCAGCCAACAAAAUCUUUACUCAUCCACUUCUUCGAAAUCCCAAGAUUUUGGUUUCUUAUAUACAAUUAUGAUUUAGUUUGUUUAUGGAUAUUGUGUAGAAGAGAACUUACUAUAUUACCCUUAACCGACAAUAUAUUUUUCCCUUCCAUUUUUCUUACAGAUCUUUUGAAGAUGUGUGUGAAUUGUUCUCUAACAAUUUUUAUUUUGAAAUGAGCUCUCAAGCUGUAAAAUUUGGCGUCCUUUGUCCAACAGAGGAGAGUGAGAGUAAGCCCAGAAAUUUAGUUACCUCUUGGUCUCAUGAUCUGUCAGGUCCUUUCAAUUAUCAGCAGCGACGGAGCCACCUCCCGGCAACCCCAGGCUCCGCCCGGGCUCAUCCGGUAAGCAUCCGUUUAGAGCAGUGCUAUUCCUACCUUCAAUGGCAGCAGUUGUUUGGGCAAACUUUCACUAGCGCAGCAUCAGUUAAGGUCUGCCCUGGCUUCCAUGACUGACAAGCUCCGCCACUGAUUAUCAGGUGAGUGAAACUUGGAUCACAUGUUCUGCAUUCGAUUUGUUUCAUGUUGCUCAGAGUAAUCUUACAUGACAGUGCAUUGCUACUUUACCAUCAUUUGAGUCUCCAACAAUUAUUCCAAUAAUUACAUAUCCGAUUUGCCCUAUGGACGAAUAUGCAAGCAUACGUUUCAUGCUUGUUUGAGUAAUAGCAAGGAGAUUCCCCAAAAUCAUGCUAAGAAUUGUGUGUGUUAAUGUGCGUUCACUUUUACGAGCAGUUUGACAUUGUCGGCGGUGGCAUUUCUUUUACAGUCUUGGUGAACAUGGACUUCCUAUGUUUUUUUUUUCAUUGUCUCAAGAUAACCAUCUGUUGGAAAUUUUGUAUAAUUGAUGCAACUAACCCUAACAUUUCAUUUGCAGACAUUUGUACUAACUAUAACCAAGUUAUCUCUAUUUUCAUUUUGUAGCUGGCAUAAUUUAUUUCAAAAGACAUUGAUGAAUUUGUAGUCUAAUUCUUAGGUUUAUCUACAAUGAAGAAAAGAUAAAUAAAUUGUCUUUCCUCCUCCCAUUCCGAGGAAGUUAUGAAAAUUGAUGCAAUUGUAUGAUAUUUGCUCUUCACUAUUUUUCGAGCGUAUAUGCAAUAAAAACUCUCAGUUACUCAUACCAUAGUACUAUAUUCGUUUUUAGAUGAAUACUGAUAUACUCAACUGUUUCCUGAUAGGUGUUUGCAGAAUUCACCAAAGCAGAGAAUCAGAGAGAAAAUGAUGUUUGUUGAAUGUACUAUUGAUUGGCCUUGAAGCUCUGUGGUCAUUUUUUUUUUUGGGGUAAGGCUACUAAUAUAAGAGAAAAAGCUGUGAGUGACAUUUUCACUAAGUUUCAGAACAAGGCCAUACAACAAGGUAGUAUUUGUAUAGAUUGAAGUUCAGCUAAAUAUGUCCAAUUGGUCCAGUAAUUUCCAUUCUCUAUCCAACAUCUGCUAGCAAGUACUUGGCAGUUAUAGUCUUUCUCUUUGCUAAGAUCGUAUGCUAUUCUUUACUGAAGUGGGAGAAAUGCAGUUCUCAGGUAAACUUCGAUGUUGAAUACACUGAUGUUAUAUUUCAAUAAUAAAUAUGCCAAGAUAUGUAUUUUUGUGUCGCGUCAUUAACAUUAAGAUGGCACUGUCAGAUCCAUGCCUCCUCGCACACUCGCCGAGACAUUUUCCAAAUACAUACACAGCUUCAAUGUCCAAACUCAUAUUUUUAGCGCCUCUUUCGCUAAAAUCUUCUUGAUUCUGAGCGCUGGUACUAGAAAGCAUAAUCCAAGUUAGUUUAAGUUUACUAUUUCCAAGUAAUUUAAUCCCGUUAAUUUGAGUACUUAGGAUAUCAUGCUAAUGUUACCACAUAGUUCUCAGUUUAGCACAGGAGGUAACCUGACUUGUUGUUCUUAUUUUUGUGUGCAGAAAGAAGCACGUUGCACAUUAGGAGGUCCCACUCUUUUUUAGGCCAGCGGUGAUUGCAUAGAACUUCCUUUGAGAAACCCGAGCAAACUUCCCUUAGUUUGUGCCUCUUGGUUUUCCUAAUUCUCUUUUGUUCUUUCUGACUUAUAACUGAACUACACGACUUGAAUCUGGUCGGAGGUAGAGCAUGUAGGUGAUGGUACAGAAGUUUCACGACCACGGUAAGCUAGGUUAAGUCCCAUGCUUAAUUUAGCUUCCUUUUCUUCGUAGCAUGGUCAAGCGUUAUCACAUUACCCACCAAGAUUUGAUCUUUGAGUUUUCUCAUCUUUUGACCAUACAAAGUGCACUUAGAUUCAGGUAAUGUAGAAAGUGCAAAAAGAUUCUGCGGCAAAAUUUGUUUUUACCUUGGAUAUGCUAUUUGGGCUGGUCCUUUAGGUGGAUUUUUUUUCCUAAGUACUAAAUCCUUUUGGAAGACAACCUGCUCCAGUUUUGGAGAGGGUAACGACUGGUUCUCCUGCUUCUUUGUCUUAGCAGUUCCCAGUACACAAUCACUUAUUAGUCUUUUUUACUGAUGGUAAAACUAAGUGAGUUUCAUGGGAGCAUAUGUUGGUGUUGUUGCAGGUUCUGCUGCCUCUGUUAGACGAAGGAAUUGGAUAGCUCUUACACAUUCCGCGUUUCUUAAUUUCGGGUGUUUCAAUCUCCACAAUCAGACACAUGUGAUUAUUGUUACAUAGAUAUUAAUGUAUGAUCUUCGAACUGGUAAAGAUUGGAUAGUACUUCUGCCGAUUUCUUAUUCUCGAAGUGGAGAAUAUAUACUAUAUAUAUGUAAUAAUAACUCAAAAGAUCACACAUUAGCUUUCUAAUUUCAUAGGCAGUUCCUAAGAAAUAAACCUACAUCUACGGUCAGACCUUCCAAUCUUCAAUAUUGAGCUUCUUUCAAGUGA